CAAGGUAUAUCUUAACUCAAAGUCUUUCGCUUACACCGAAAUUAUAUUUGUUCAAAUCAAAUUACCCUGAG
rnacentral:tRNA from 1 species